rnacentral:rRNA from 1 species
GUUGGGCCUGCUCGGUGAGAAGAAAAAUUUAACAGCUGCGGUAUUAUAACUGUACUAAGGUAGCAUAAUAAUUUGCCUUAUAAAUUAAGGCUAGAAUGAAUGGUUUGACGAAAAUUAGACUGUCUUUAUUUUAUUUGUUAGAAAUUAAUUUUUAUAGUGAAAAAGCUUGAAUAAUUUAAGGGGACGAGAAGACCCUAUUGAGCUUUAUUUAUUAAUAUUUAAAUAUAAAUAUAUAAUUUAUAUUAUGAAAAUUAUGUUGUAUAUAUAUAUUUAAUUGAUUUAAUUUUGAUUGGGGUGAUCAAGGAAUAAAGAUAAAGUAACUUCCUUAAAAUUAAUGAUUGUUUUUAUAGAGUAAUAAACCAAGUUUUUUGCUUAUAAGAUAAGUUACCAUAGGGGUAACAGCGUAAUUUUUUUUGAGAGUUCAUAUUGAAAAAAGAGAUUGCGACCUCGAUGUUGGAUUAAAAAUUACCUUAAGG